CAGAUUAUUAGCAAAGGGUUUAUUGGAAUAUAACAACGACUGGAAGGCAAUCCAACAACGGUUUCUUCCUUGCAAAUCCAAGGAUCAAGGCUGUGAUUGCUAGGAUAUUGUAUCAUACUAGACUAGAACGAACUCCGUCGACAUUUGCAUAUGUCAUGUCCAAGUUAUUUCCAUCAAUGACCUUCUUGUUGGCUAUCAUCUUCAGGUAUUACCCACUCAUCUCAGCAUUUUAAGUUACGAUUUGUUUUGAUUCAUAUAACAUAUCAAAUUUUGGCACUUUCCAAAGGAUCAUGUAGACUUUGUAAUAAGUAGAGUAGCAUUGGUUUCUAUUUUUGGGA